rnacentral:rRNA from 1 species
AACGCUGGCGGCGUGCCUAAUACAUGCAAGUCGAACGCUUCUUUCCUCCCCGAGUGCUUGCACUCAAUUGGAAAGAGGAGUGGCGGACGGGUGAGUAACACGUGGGUAACCUACCCAUCAGAGGGGGAUAACACUUGGAAACAGGUGCUAAUACCGCAUAACAGUUUAUGCCGCAUGGCAUAAGAGUGAAAGGCGCUUUCGGGUGUCGCUGAUGGAUGGACCCGCGGUGCAUUAGCUAGUUGGUGAGGUAACGGCUCACCAAGGCCACGAUGCAUAGCCGACCUGAGAGGGUGAUCGGCC